ACAAUCUCAGUAUUACAGUUUCUGCAGUUAGUGAAAGAAGAUCUAUUUCUAGUAACAUGAAAGCUUCCAUAACGCUUGGGUUCCACUUCUCACUUGCUGUUUUGAGGCUGCUUGCAUACAUUUUAGUCGUUUCUUUGCCACUUGAUAUAUGAUAUCGUCAAAUAUUGGUAAAGUUUUGGGCACUUGGAGAUGCUGGACUUCAUCAUUGUCAAGGCUUCUAUCUGAAAAUUGGACUACUGCAUCCGCGAGGAUCCUGCGGGCACUGACUGUGCUCUUCAGAUCUAGAAUGCUGGCAACGGCAUGGUUGGCCGCACAGAGGAGUCUACCUGAUGAAAUGCAGAGAGCAAGACUAUGUCCAAUUCAGAGGUGUUGUGCAUCAAAUUGAUUUUAAAUGAAUACACGUGCUCAGGUCGAAGGUGAAGCUGGGAUGGCACUAUGUUUUGUCAUGAAAAGGUGUUAAGGCUGAAAAGGUGAAUCCAUUGACUAUGUUUCAUCGAGCUCUGAAGGUCAUAAGGAUUUUGUCCAAGGUUGCUGCCUAUAGGAAAAUCAGGUACAUCAUCCUCUCUAAGAUCCAGGAUCACACGGGUACGGCUCAUGCUGCCACGUUGCAACAAGACGGCUAGGAGACGCUUGGUCGCACAGCAAAUGCGCUCUACUCGGUCCACUAUGCAGCACGAUUUGGCAGUAACAUGCGUGACGCUAUGUAUCAUCAGUAUCUGUCCCAAGUGGAAAGUCGCAAAAGGGAAUGCGGAACGGUAAUCAGCUCGUGAAAUGCACCAUUGUUGGAGCUGAAAAGAUCCAUUGGAAGCUGCAUCGUGUGAGAUGUGACGGUGAUGGCUGUUGAAGCUGACAUGCCAGGUUCUGCUCAUGGUAGCCGGUAUGAUGAAACUACACUCCUCUCCAUCGAGUUGUAUAUGUCCAUAUA